ensembl:lncRNA
ACAGUUGUGUUUCAGUUUGCACCUAAGUCACUUCUGAGUUGCUCUUGGAGGCUGUCCUGUAAGUGAAGCCAGCCUAAAAGGUUACUGUUAAAAUGUUAAAAUGCUGAUGAAGACGGGCUUCUGUAGAAUCCUGCUGCUGCCUUAUGAAUACAAAAGGGAAUCCUAAACCAAGCUUUAGUAUGAGAUGAGGAGUUGGAGCUCUGCUCCCUGGUGUUUGAGUCACCCAAGUACUGUGCUGGAGAGCUGGUAGUUACUGCUGCUGCUGGAAGUGAUUUCUUUGCUGCUGAGCUCUGUGGUUGUAACUCCUCCCUCACCUCUGUGACUGAAGCUGGCGCUCAGUCUUCAUGUAAUUACAGAAUAUCCAACGUUGGACAGGUGCCAAGAAGAUGGUAUAAUCAAAUCAAGAUGUGAUGUAGAGCAGGGUACCCAGAUGGCUCUGGAAUAUUUCCAAGCAGGAGACUCCACAGCCUCUGAGCAGCCUGUUUUAGUGCUCUGUCACCUGCACGGCACGGAAGUGCUUCUGGUGUUCCUAGGAUCACUUAUGUCGGAAAAGACCCUUAAGAUCAAGUCGAGCCAUCAUCCUAAUGCUAAACUUGUCUCUUGUCCCUUCACUGGGCACAAAUGGGAAGGCUCCAUGGUCUUUAUACCCUUAUCAAGUGUUUAAAAAUAUUGAUAGAAUCGCCCCCAGCCCUCUCCCCAGCUGUCUCAAUCUGUCCUCAUAUGAAGGGGCUUCCAGUUCCUUCAUCACUGGCUGCUACUGGAUUGUCACUGCACUUGGCAAUUCCCCGUUGAAUAUCAAGAGGUUCAUGUCAGCCAUUUUCCUAGGCUGUCAAGGUCAUCUUGGGAUGACCCUCCGGUGUUUUUGAUGCCUGUCCCAUCAUCUAGGUCAUUAAUAAAGAUUUUGAACAUGACUGGCCCCAGUGCUUGCAUAUACUGCUCAUUACUGGGCUCCAAGUAGUGUCUAUGCCACUGAUCACAACCUUCUGGGCUUCAGUCACUGUCUGCUUACCCAGCCUGUGCUUUGGCUUGUCAAUGAGGGUAUUAUGUCAGAUAACAUCAAAACUGUCAAGUCAUGUUAGGAAGUAUCCACUGCUUGCCCCGUGUCCCCUGGGCUGGUCACGUCGUCACAGAGGGCUGUCACACCAGGCCAGUUAAGGCCUUACACAUCAUCCCUCC